AUAUUAGAAAAAGAGAAGAGGAAAGAAAGUAUGAGGAAACUGGAAGACAUGAAGAAUGAAAUGCUUAGAAAGAUGAAAGCGUUGGAGGUGUGGAAAGAUUACUCCAUCUUCUCUGUGGGCCAACAGGGGGUUGCACAGCCCCCUCCAGCCCAGCAGAAUAAGACAACCUCCCCUCGCAAAGAUGUCUCUAUAUUUGCAGCUGGGAAAAAUCGUUUGGCUAAAGCCUUGAAACCCCUUGUGUGCAAAAAAAAAAUGAAGGCAGAAUGCAUUCUUCAAGCA